GGAACGUCUCGCUCGCACCGAGGACAGCACGGAGCCUCACCACCCACGAGGCAUCACUGGGAUGAUGACUUAAUUGAAAAGAGUUGCUCAAGCAUGUACCAGGCCUGGCACACAGUUAGAAACUUCUGCUUCAGAACUGGGAAUAGCUGCCAGCAAGAGCUGCUCUGAGGGAAAGGCAGUGGCUGUUUACCUGCCCUGCUGAGCCAUUCCAGGGAGAACAGGGGAACAAUUAAGCGGUUUGCCUUUCUCACAAUAAGUACUUUCCUGAAACAUGGCUGGAAAGAAAGAAGGAAUCCUAUUGGCAUUUUCAUUGGUGAAAGUCAGAACAUAAGGGUCAGGAUCACAUCCAGUAACAGAACUAAAUCCAGUCCUGCAUCAAGAUGAUGUCAGGGGAUUGCAGACGCCAAGCACAGGGAGCUCCCUCUGAGGUCUUUGAGAUUCCAGCCAGCAUUGGAAGUGACAGCCCAGAUAAGGCAGAAGGACCUGCUACUUACCAAGAGGAGAAAAACAGCAUAAGAGCACUGGUUAAUGGGUGUGCUUUGGAUUCACACUGGAUCCUGGGAGCAGAAUUGUUCCCUGUGGAUGUACAAGUAUCAUGGUAACUCUCCUCAGAGUUUUAGUUGAAGAAGCAUAUCAGUGACUCCUGGAUGAGUGUCCCCUGAAUCUGCUGUUCAGCAGAAUCCCAGUUUCAAAGUGCAGAGGGUACAAAACUCA
rnacentral:lncRNA from 1 species